UGGGGAAUUUUGCGCAAUGGGGGAAACCCUGACGCAGCAACGCCGCGUGGAGGAUGAAGUCCCUUGGGACGUAAACUCCUUUCGAUCGGGACGAUUAUGACGGUACCGGAAGAAGAAGCCCCGGCUAACUACGUGCCAGCAGCCGCGGUAAUACGUAGGGGGCGAGCGUUGUCCGGAGUGACUGGGCGUAAAGGGCUUGUAGGCGGUGAUGCGCGUCAACCGGGCCAGCUGGCAGCUUCCCUGCCGGAGAGCGGUUGAAACGGCAUGACUUGAGGGCGAGAGAGGGACAUGGAACUCCGGGUGGAGUGGUGAAAUGCGUAGAGAUCCGGAAGAACACCAAAGGCGAAGGCAGUGUCCUUGGCUUCGUUCCUGACGCUGAGGAGCGAGAGCUAGGGGAGCGAACA
rnacentral:rRNA from 1 species